CUCAGCUCUAGCUCAAUGGUGUCCUGCAAAUCGGGUGCGCCACGGGGGAAGAGGUGGCCGGGCAGGGCCAGGUAGGAGCCCUCACGGAACAUGGCGCUGAACUGCCCCGGGGUGUCGCUGCCACCGCUGCCCUCCUGCCAGUCCUGGUCCAGCUCUGACAGCGCCGCACCGUGCUGGCAGUAGGGGCCAGCGUAACCCUUGGGGCAGAUGCAGCCGUUGUCCUUGCAGGUGCCACCGUGCAGGCAGGGGUUGUGCUCCAGGCAUCGGUCAGCCGCCCGCUCGCAGCGCGGCCCGCUGAAGCCGGGGGUGCAGAGGCAGCGGAAGGGCGGGCUGCUGGCGGGCAGGGGCAGACAGCGGCCGCCGUGCAGGCAGGGUGCGUGAAGGCAGGGUGAGCUCUGCCCACACUGCCCCACACCCCGGCUGCGCAGGAAGCUGUAUGACAGAUCCACCUUCUUCCCGUUGAUGGAGACCUCACCGAUGCACCCCUGGAAGGAGGCGUUGGUGGGGGGCCUCAGGGGGGGCUCCACUCCCCCGAGGUAGAGAGGGCUGCGCAGGUUGAGCCCCUGGCUCUUGCCAG
rnacentral:lncRNA from 1 species